AACAUACUCCCUCCGUUCGGAAUUACUCGUCCAAAAAAUGAAAGUAUCUAGAUGUAUUUUAAUUGUAGAUACAUCCAUUUUUAUGACAAGUAAUUCCGAACGGAGGGAAUAGUUC
rfam:Triticum aestivum genome assembly, contig: Triticum_aestivum_CS42_TGACv1_scaffold_221060_3B